rnacentral:rRNA from 1 species
GAUGAACGCUAGCGGCAGGCUUAAUACAUGCAAGUCGUGGGGCAGACAGGUUUGUAGCAAUACAGAUGCUGGCGACCGGCAAACGGGUGCGGAACACGUACAGAACCUUCCUUUGAGCGGGGAAUAGCCCAGAGAAAUUUGGAUUAAUACCCCAUAGUAUAAUGAAGUGGCAUCACUUUAUUAAUUAAAGUAUUUAUCACUCGAAGAUGGCUGUGCGGCUGAUUAGGUAGUUGGCGGGGUAAGGCCCACCAAGCCUGCGAUCAGUAACUGGUGUGAGAGCACGACCAGUCACACGGGCACUGAGAC